rnacentral:rRNA from 1 species
GAUGAACGCUGGCGGCGUGCCUAAUACAUGCAAGUCGAGCGAACAGAUGAGGAGCUUGCUCCUCUGACGUUAGCGGCGGACGGGUGAGUAACACGUGGAUAACCUACCUAUAAGACUGGGAUAACUUCGGGAAACCGGAGCUAAUACCGGAUAAUAUAUUGAACCGCAUGGUUCAAUAGUGAAAGACGGUUUUGCUGUCACUUAUAGAUGGAUCCGCGCCGCAUUAGCUAGUUGGUAAGGUAACGGCUUACCAAGGCAACGACGCGUAGCCGACCUGAGAGGGUGAUCGGCCACACUGGAACUGAGACACGGUCCAGACUCCUACGGGAGGCAGCAGUAGGGAAUCUUCCGCAAUGGGCGAAAGCCUGACGGAGCAACGCCGCGUGAGUGAUGAAGGUCUUCGGAUCGUAAAACUCUGUUAUUAGGGAAGAACAAAUGUGUAAGUAACUAUGCACGUCCUGACGGUACCUAAUCAGAAAGCCACGGCUAACUACGUG